UAGAAUCUCAUCUGAAAUCUCAUUUUCUUUCUAUUCAACAUAUCUCAAAAUCUGCUCAAUUCUAAUAUCAUGCCUUUACUCAAAAACGCUAAUAAAAUCAUUAAUCAAACUCAUUCUCAAUAACAAUAAAGACCAACACAUAGAUAAAAAUUAAUUUGCCAGAAAAUUAUUUAAUCGAAGCAUUAAAUACUUAUCAUAAAACCAGCAUAUACUAUGAAAAUAGGUUUUGUAUAUUCCACUCACAGUGAUGAUGUCUAGACUCGGUAUCAACAACGUCCGCGGGUUGAAUCUCGUUCGCGGAUGCGGAUCCUCCUAAUCACAGAAACACUAUAAUUAUUCUCCGUAAAUAGAAAUACAACCAAUUUAAUAUAAUAAAUCUCGAAUCAAAUCUCUAUUAACGAUAAACUAUUCCCGCAUGAGUAAAAUUACCAAAAUGCCCCUACAUGCCAAAAUUACCAAAAUACCCCCAACAUCAAUAUUUUACCAACUUAUCCUCAAACUUCAUUAUUUUACCAAAAUAUCCUCGUAUUCGUCAAUUACCAUAUUGUCCUCAAUUUAUAUUACAUAAAUUAAUCACAUUGUCUGAAAUUCCGAAAUUACCCUCGGGGCAUAAAAUUACCGAAAUGUCCUUAACGUCUUAAAUUACCGAAUUGCCCUCGAAAUCACGUUACAUAAAAUUACAAAUUCACCCCAAAGUUUCAGGAAUUUGCCGAAUUGCCCCUGCCGGUCAACGGUGACCGGACUUCAGUCAACGACGACGGGGAGCUUAGGUCAGCUAGUUCCGACCUCGGUGAGUGCAAUGGUGCCGGCGGUGUCCUCCCACGCGCGGCGGCAACGGCGGAUCGAAGCUCCAAAAAAAAUCCGAAACUUUCCGGUGGUCGUUCGACGAUUUUCCACCUAUGCCAAAAAGAGAGAUGCAAUGAAACGACCCGCCCCGCAACUCCCCAGGGCGAGUCUAUCUAAACUCGUAAAAUCGAAACUAUUCUAUAAAAAAUUUCGGCAGAGUCUCCCUUAAAAAUAAAACAUAUCCAAUCCUGCAAUUUACAAAUCAACACUCCCAAAAUAAUUCAAUAUCCAACCAUCCUCCAUAAUCAACUUCUCAAAUCAACAUAUCCAUAUCAUCCUAAGAUUAAAUUACAUCGAUUACAUAAAAUAAUAAAAUAAUACAACUCGCAAAAAUCCCAAAUAUAAUACUAAUUAAAAUCCACGACUCCUAGCACCAUCACGUGGCCACAAUAUCACACUAACGUUCGCUACUGAGUUGACUGAUGUACCUGUAACUCUCCUGUGGGGGGGAAAAUAUAAAAUAAUAAAAGAGGGGUGAGUAUAAAACUCAGUGAGCUCAGUGAGUGGAUAGUAGUUACUGACAAUUUAAUAAAUUUAUUUAAAAUGAUUUAAUCUUUCUCAAAUCAAUUUCUCAAAUCGUUUCUCAAAUCAAUUUCAAUUUCUCAAAAUAUCAUAAGAACUUGCUCAAACUCAUUUAAUGCAAAUCAAUUCAUUGAAACACUAUAAUACAUAUAUUCGCAUAAAAUCGAUGGAAUCAUAUAAUACUCAUCAUAUCAAAUACUGAAGACUAAAAAUUGUCAUCAAACAAGUACCCAAGGGAUAAUCUAAUCAUAUCCGGACCUCGACAGACGGGCAAUGACGUACUAUCUGGGUAGCGUCACGCCCCGGAGCUACAACGGAUAGAUGGGGACGAUCUCAUCUCAUAUCUCAUAUAUCUGUACUGUGCAUGCAUAAGCCCCCAAAAGGCAAAAGCGCCCGAACACACGGCCCAAAGCCUCUAUGUGUGUCCCGACGGGCCCCAAAGGCCUCUAUCUCAUCUUAUCUGUAUCUCUUUUCUGUAUCUCUUUUCUCAUCUCAUAUUAUCUGUUUCUCUGUAUCUGGAGGGAAGGGUACUGUCUAAUGAUUUCAAAAAUAACAUAUACAUAAACAUAGAAUCUCAUCCGAAAUCUCAUUUUCUUUCUAUUCAACAUAUCUCAAAAUCUGCUCAAUUCUAAUAUCAUGCCUUUACUAAAAAAAAACGCUAAUAAAAUCAUUAAUCAAACUCAUUCUCAAUAACAAUAAAGACCGACACAUAGAUAAAAAUUAAUUUACCGGAAAAUCAUUUAAUCGAAGCAUUAAAUACUUAUCAUAAAAUCAGCAUAUACUAUGAAAAUAGGUUUGUAUAUUCCACUCACAGUGAUGAUGUCUAGACUCGGUAUCAACAACGU
rnacentral:lncRNA from 1 species